CCAGACACAAAAUACAGUGAUCUCUUGUCUCAGUGGGAUAUGAAGGAGGGAAGCACGGUCAUUCAAAAAUACUACCAGGUUUUUACUGAUCCAAAGCUUAAUGCUAAUUGGUGAAGUAUCUCUUUAAUGGUUUUGGAUACA